AUGGAGAUCUAGAUGAAUAUGUUAGACAAGAUUCUUAAAAUAUUGCACAAAGUCAUUUAGGAAAUAUUGUCUUCAUGGCGGAUACAAACUGGAUAGCGCUUUUUAAAGCAAUAAAUCAUGAAUUCUAGUUACCCUGCAUCGUCCUUGAGCAGAACAACGUAAUUAUGGAUAAACUACUCAAGCACUUAUGUCGGAGCACACAAGCAAGGUUCAGAUCUAGAGAAGCAGAGACAACUUUCUUUGAUGCAGGUCGCAGUGGAAGAUUCAGACAAAAUGUUUGAAGAUCAAUGCUAUGAUAGUCCACCAUGUUGAUAGAAACA